CCUACGGGAGGCAGCAGUAGGGAAUUUUCGUCAAUGGGCGCAAGCCUGAACGAGCAAUGCCGCGUGAACGAGGAAGGUCUUCGGAUCGUAAAGUUCUGUUGAAGGGGAAAAAGAGCGGAGAGAGGAAAUGCUUUCUGAUUGAUAUUACCCUUCGAGGAAGUCACGGCUAACUACGUGCCAGCAGCCGCGGUAAUACGUAGGUGGCGAGCGUUAUCCGGAAUGAUUGGGCGUAAAGGGUGCGUAGGCGGCCUGCUAAGUCUGGAGUGAAAGGUACCGGCUCAACCGGUACAGGCUCUGGAAACUGGCGGGCUAGAGAGCAGGAGAGGGCGGUGGAACUCCAUGUGUAGCGGUGAAAUGCGUAGAGAUCGGGAGGAACACCAGUGGCGAAGGCGGCCUACUGGGCUUUAACUGACGCUGAGGCACGAAAGCGUGGGUAGCAAACAGGAUUAGAUACCCCUGUAGUC
rnacentral:rRNA from 1 species